rnacentral:rRNA from 1 species
UUAUUUGAGAGUUUGAUCCUGGCUCAGGAUGAACGCUGGCGGCGUGCCUAACACAUGCAAGUUGAGCGAUUUACUUCGGUAAAGAGCGGCGGACGGGUGAGUAACGCGUGGGUAACCUACCCUAUACACACGGAUAACAUACCGAAAGGUAUGCUAAUACGGGAUAAUAUAUUUGAGAGGCAUCUCUUGAAUAUCAAAGGUGAGCCAGUACAGGAUGGACCCGCGUCUGAUUAGCUAGUUGGUAAGGUAACGGCUUACCAAGGCGACGAUCAGUAGCCGACCUGAGAGGGUGAUCGGCCACAUUGGAACUGAGACACGGUCCAAACUCCUACGGGAGGCAGCAGUGGGGAAUAUUGCACAAUGGGCGAAAGCCUGAUGCAGCAACGCCGCGUGAGUGAUGAAGGCCUUCGGGUCGUAAAACUCUGUCCUCAAGGAAGAUAAUGACGGUACUUGAGGAGGAAGCCCCGGCUAACUACGUGCCAGCAGCCGCGGUAAUACGUAGGGGGCUAGCGUUAUCCGGAUU